CACUGUUCACACUGCGAGACGCUGACUGGUGGACGGUUUCUAUAAGCAGGUGCCGCUGUUACUGUAAAGGAAAAUGUCCUCUAAUGAGGAAUUUUAAGAGGACAUCUGUACUUUUGAGGGGACUUUACACAGUUAAAACAGUAGUUUCCAUACAUCGUACGUAUAUCUGGGGCCUCAGGAUGAAGCGUAAUGUUUGGGACAAACUUUCCGCUUCACAGACCAACAAGAUCAUUAGGGUUCAUCCUCACUACAAAAAUAUCUAAACCUGAGGUGUAAAUCAGUGUCCUGAAGCGACUCGUCUCCGAGUCUGCGGGCGGUUCAGCGGUGUCGCUGUGACGAACCUGAGCGCUCGCAGCAUGAACACGUGGUUAGUCUUCAGUUUUAACUCAUGUAGCCUCAACAGCCAAAUUACCUCAAAACAUGUUUAAAAUUAAGUUUAAAAAACAAACCAGAUUCGCAGAAACUUACCUGUUGUUGUUAAACGUUAGUGAACGUUAAAAGCUUUAGAAACCGUUGGAGACAGACAGGAAGUCAGGCAGCAGACCUGCGUGUUCUGAAUUUGAAUUUUGCUAACGAUGCUAGUCACUGUUGCUACAGUUUCUCCUCUGAUGAGAAGCACAUAGGCUGAUGGUAGCUAAGCUAACAGUAAAUAAUAAAGCUAGUCAGUCCUGCUAAAUGCUACAGAGCCGACCGCUUCACGGAGAACUCCAGGAAGUGUUUGGCUCACUGCAAACACUAAAAUUACACUUGAGAUAAAUAUACGGAGAGCUGAGAGAUAAUAUAUAUGUAUAAUAUGUGACCGUCUGUGUUCAGUACAGAGCUGGAGUCAGGACGUGGUUAGCCUAGCUUAGCAUAAAGACUGGAAACAUGUGGAAACAGCUAGCCUCCAAUGCUCACUGAUUAACACGUUGUGGCUCGUUUGUUUAAUCUGAACACAAACAGAAAUAUUUUAAAUCAGUUUGUGGUUUUGGGGGAGUUACGUGCUGGAACUGUUUCUUGGCCGGGCGCGGCGGCUUUCCCGUCGUCUCGUCACCCUGAGGUUGACACUUUUAUUUUGUAUUUGAUUGUUUGAAAAUCUAUUUCAACGCAAUAAAAAAGCUUCAAAAUUACUUUUAAAUGUGAAAUUCAGUUUGUGUAAAAACGUUAAAUUGAAAAGUUUUUUCCAGUUGUCCUGCCCUCGCUUUAAACUUAACGUUAAAACUCGACACAGUUCACAGCAGUGAGCUGCGAGGACGCUAGCACACGGAGAUGAAAAUACCUUCGUACUGUAGUCGGCUGUGGAAAAACUGCUUGAUGGUAAUAAUAAUGUAAUAAUAAUAAUUUUGAAUGGGAGACGGUAGCUUGGUUUUGUGCUCGUAAGGAGUUUGAGUUUAUUUUUAGGUGUUAAGUGAGCUAACGUUGUGUUGUUGAAACCUCAGUAACGCACAGAGGCGGAAUUCGGGUUCCUUCUGCUUGUUUUACCUUUGUGUGUCUGGCUUCUCCGUUGGCUUAAAGAACAAAUAAACCACAUUAGACUCUAAUGUCAUCAGGCUCUUCUUUGAUGACAAAAUCAGGAAGCGUUUCUUUAACAAGUCAGUAAUUUUGAAAAACCUGAAAUUCAAGAAAACAAAACAAAUGUUCUCACAUCGCCCAGUUUGACUGAUUCACAUCAAAAUUCAAACUCAGAACAGGUGAAGUGAGUUCACACGUUAGUGACAGUCUGUGUUAGUCGAGGGGACGUCAGCCAAUCAGUGACAUGCAAAAAACAACGAGGAGAGGAGGAACGAUGGAGGGACAGGUGAGAGAAAAGAGGGAUGGAUGGACAGAGCUCAGUACCGGCCAAUCAUGGAGGGUUUGGACAGACCAGCGGCGGGAGGCAGAGAUUGGGAGCUUCUGAUUGGAGGAGAAUAGGAAGAAGGCGUGGCCCACAGCAGCAUGGGGGCAGGUGAUUGGCCGGAGAAAAACAACACAUGAAAAAAUAAAAAAAAAAACAAAUAGAAGCCCAUCAGGGAGACAGCCAGUGAGACAGAGACGGGACGUUUACAUCCCGUCUCCACAAGACAUCAGCGAGCUCGCCAGGUGUGUCGGCUACUCCGCCGUCACCUCAUUGGCUGGCAGCGCUCCACAUUCCCAGGCCCCAUGAACUACCCAUCGGCUCAGCGGUGGACUGCGAAGGAGGCGGAGCUUCACAUAGGACACGGCGAACGUGUACAGGUUGACCAGAGAGAACUCCUGCUGCAGAGUCUGAGGGACACCUGAACCCACCGCCGAGUCCUGACGACCUCCAGAGCUCAGAGCGCCGUCCGGAUCUGAGAGACGACAGGACGGACAGACGACAGGAAGGUUUUCAGAGGCGGGGCCGACGCUGUGCGGACUCUCCUGAGACGACAGAGACUUCGGCUCCACGGUGAGAGACAUCCCCUCCAUCAGGUCCUCCACCACGUCGCUGACACACAGCUACACAACAACAACAACAACAACAACACGCAGACAUCAGCACCAGCCAGAGGCAGGAGCACAGUCACCUCUCUGAGGCUGCACACCGACCUUCUGCAGCUGAGGAUCCACCCUCCAUAUCCUCAGAGUCUGGUCUCUGGACCACGUGACCAGCUGGUAAUCCUUAGAGCCUGCAGAGUCAACAAGCAGCCGUCAGGCUUCAUCCACCGCUAACUUCCACACCGCACAAAAAUAUUAGAAAUAACUACUGACAACAUUUGAGCUACGGAGAUACGGACAAAAUGAACACGACAGUACAUCGGUGUUUAUAUACGCACGAGUCGACACUCGGUGUCAGCAAACGCUGACAGACCACCCGAAACAUCACAGGAACACUUUGUGGGACUUAAUGGACGUAAUUCUAUAAACUAUAAAAGCUGUUUUUUUAGAGGCAAAGCUCAUAUGAACGGCUGAGGACAACAGACUGAUAUCAGCGUCAGAAAGGAAAAAGCAGAAUUGUAACGUCUCUAUUUUUAUUAAAAACAACAUGUUAAAGCCA